UACGUAGGUGGCAAGCGUUGUCCGGAAUUAUUGGGCGUAAAGCGCGCGCAGGCGGCUUCUUAAGUAUGAUGUGAAAUCUCGGGGCUCAACCCCGAGCGGCCAUUGGAAACUGGGAAGCUUGAGUACAGAAGAGGAGAGUGGAAUUCCACGUGUAGCGGUGAAAUGCGUAGAUAUGUGGAGGAACACCAGUGGCGAAGGCGACUCUCUGGUCUGUAACUGACGCUGAGGCGCGAAAGCGUGGGGAGCAAACAGG
rnacentral:rRNA from 1 species